CUAUAAGAGAGCAGGCUGAGCAAGCCAGGAGAAGCAAGCCUGUAAGAAACAUCCCUCCAUGGCCUCUGCAUCAGCUCCUGCUUCCUGACCUGCUUGAGUUUCAGUCCUGACUUCCUUUAGUGAUGAACAGCAGCAUGGAAGUGUUACCUGGCCCCUGAAGUUCUGGAGAUCCUCCUGACUUAGUGCCCCCAUCUCACCUUGGGAGUGCCGACAUUAGUGAUGCAUGCUGCAGCAGCUUUCUGUGGGCUUUGGGGCAUCCAAAGGCCAACCUCUGGCUGUGCCUGCUCGCCUUCCUCUGGACACAACAUCAUGUCUUUCUGAGCUGCUUGAGAAGACACACGUGUCCUUGUCAUGAGGCACUUCCUCGAAGAAGCUCAGCUGAGGAGCAGAAGGCCAAGCAAUCCCAUCCCCCAAGCUCUACAGGGAAGGCCAGGACGUGGACGGCAGACAGAAGACUGUGCUAAUCUUGGAGUUGGGUCUUCCAGCUCAGAGCUCACAUCUUAGCAGGAGGCUGCAGGAAACAGCUGGAUCUUAUGAUGAGAAAAGAAGGAACGGGAAAUUCAAUGUUGGAUGCCGAGGGAAAAGGGAAACUGACCUCCCACAGUGUAAUGGUCCAGAUCCAGACCGACUGGACAUUGUUCAAUGACCCAGAUGCUGUAGUUUUCCAUGGGUGGGGAAGGGUACAGAGGGAGCUGUUGGCUCUUAGGAUCUUGACCUAGUAACUGAGAGCCUGAGAAUCUGCUUAGCUUGCUACGCAAGGUCUGCUGUUCUUGGUCAACCUAUAGAGCCGAAUGCUUGCAUGGCUGUCAGGAGAUCUGGAUUCAUCCAUUCAUAGAAAAGCCAUUGAUUUGAUUGUUUUGUAAGUUGGAAAGACAGGGUGUAUUAGCUACUUUUCCUUUUGCUAUAAAAUAUCUGACAAAUGCAACUUAAGAAAGAAAAUCUUAUUCUAUCUUAGAGUUCAAGGGAGAUUUUUCAAGUAUAGCAGAGAAGGAACCGAAGGGGUUAUUAGAUUCAGCUAUCACUUUGUGCCAACAGUAGGGAAGGAGAGGGGACAGAAAAUGGGGGUAAGUUAUCUAUUGUCAAAACCAGCCUGUCAUGAUCCAAUUUAUCUAGCUAUGAUUAACCUCCCAAAGACUCCAUAAUUGUUCUAAACAGUGCCACUAGCUGGGACCCAAUUAUUCAGUCAUCAGCCAAUGAAGGAUAUUUCACAUUCAAAGCACAACACAGGGCAAGGUCAUGGUCAGUUGUUGUUAAAGUAUCUUCAAGAAUAGUCCAUCUGGAGGAUCUAGUGCUGAGGUCAGAGAGCAGCAGAUUCCUAUUCAUUCUUGGUGUCUGCACUGAGUAUCAGUCCAUUCAGUUUCUCUCUGCUCCAUAUUGACAGGUCUACCAAUGGAUAGGACAAGACCUGAAAAGGAGAGGAAGGUCCAAAAUGUGUUUUCUAUUUUAAUGUGGCAUAAACUUUUGACACCUCUUUAAAACACAACCAGAAAUCAAACCCUAGAGGAAUAUCUGGUUAACAUCACCGCCUCUUCAACUUGCUGUCUCUUAUAUACCCAUCUCCCAUGAAGCAGGAAGCAAUAAAAAGACUCUGAAUGUGAUCCACCUCUGGGCUAUGUCUUUAAGUGUUUGUUUUGUUUUGUUUUGUUUUGUUUUUACUAUGGACCUAUACAUUCCUAUAAAGCUGAAAGGUGAAACAUAUCUUUGACAAAGCUAUGUUUACCCUUAUUGUCUACAAUGAAUUACGAUGCGUUCUAAUUUGUCAUAUUUUAUAUUCUUUUUCAAAGUCCUAGUUGACUGGAUUGUGUCGGCUUAGAAACCACAGUGGUCUCAAUAGCUUCCCAUAGGGUGGCUUUCCCUUCAAUGUAACUGACACCAGCUACAGACAGGCCUUCACUGUUGCCCAUUCAACAUUGACCAUGAAGAUCGUGGGAGCAAGAAUUAAAAUUCAGAUUAUUACUAAGAAAGAUUACUGUGUAGAAGUACCUUUUAUUCUCCUGAUAUAAUUCUCAUCUCAGAGGCUUACUGCCACUGCCUGCUCACCUAGGCCUCAUUGUAGAAGUUUCCAGCCUCCAUACACUUUUAUCUAGGUAUUGAAUGUUUUUUAACUCCUGUUGUCUUACUGCUGAAUAAGCUCACCCUUUCUAGCUCGUUCUGAAUGCUGGCUUGAUGGUCAAGUCAGCUACUGUGGCUCAAAUUCCUUUCCAAGCUCACUGACUCAAUCUGGCUUCUCCCAUGGCCUCUGAAUUUUUGCUCUGUUUGGCCUCAAAGUAACUCCGGCCAUCUGUUCAAACCAGGUUCCUUCUCACUUCCUGCCUCAUUGUGUCUA